UACAGAGGUCUCAAGCGUUGUUCGGAUUCAUUGGGCGUAAAGGGUGUGUAGGUGGCGCCGUAAGUCGGGGUGUGAAAUUUCGGAGCUUAACUCCGAAACUGCAUUCGAUACUGCGGUGCUUGAGGACUGGGAGAGGAGACUGGAAUUCAUGGUGUAGCAGUGAAAUGCGUAGAGAUCAUGAGGAAGACCAGUGGCGAAGGCGGGUCUCUGGACAGUUCCUGACACUGAGACACGGAAGGCCAGGGGAGCAAACGGG
rnacentral:rRNA from 1 species